GAUGAACGCUGGCGGCGUGCUUAACACAUGCAAGUCGAACGAAGCACUUUUACAGAUUUCUUCGGAAUGAAGUUUUAGUGACUGAGUGGUGGACGGGUGAGUAACGCGUGGGUAACCUGCCUCACACAGGGGGAUAACAGUUGGAAACGACUGCUAAUACCGCAUAAGCGCACAGUACCGCAUGGUACGGUGUGAAAAACUCCGGUGGUGUGAGAUGGACCCGCGUCUGAUUAGCUAGUUGGCAGGGCAACGGCCUACCAAGGCGACGAUCAGUAGCCGACCUGAGAGGGUGACCGGCCACAUUGGGACUGAGACACGGCCCAAACUCCUACGGGAGGCAGCAGUGGGGAAUAUUGCACAAUGGGGGAAACCCUGAUGCAGCGACGCCGCGUGAGCGAAGAAGGUUUUCGGAUUGUAAACCUCUGUCUUCAGGGACGAUAAUGACGGUACCUGAGGAGGAAGCUCCGGCUAACUACGUGCCAGCCGCCGCCGUAA
rnacentral:rRNA from 1 species